AUCGCUUCUCGGCCUUUUGGCUAAGAUCAAGUGUAGAAUAUGUGGUACAUACACACCAUGGAAUGCUGCAUAAAAAAGAAUGAAAUCAUGACCUUUGCAGGGGCAUGGAUGGAGCUGGAGGUCAUUAUCCUUAGCAAACUAAUGCAUGUUUGCUCCAUGUUUUCACUUGUAAGUUGGAGCUAAAUGAU